rnacentral:rRNA from 1 species
AUGAACGCUGGCGGCGUGCCUUAGGCAUGCAAGUCGAACGACCCCGAAUUCUCGGGGGAGUGGCGGACGGGUGAGUAAUGCAUAGGAAUCUACCCCUUGGUGUGGAAUAACCUCGAGAAAUCGAGGCUAAUACCGCAUGACCCCGAGUUUUCGGGGAAAGGCCGUAACUGGUCGCCGAGGGAGGAGCCUAUGUCCUAUCAGCUUGUUGGUAGGGUAAUGGCCUACCAGGGCGAUAACGGGUAGGGGGUGUGAGAGCAUGGCCCCCCACAAGGUCACUGAAACACGGGGCCUACACCUACGGGUGGCAGCAACCGGGAAUAUUGCGCAAUGGGCGAAAGCCUGACGCAGCGACGCCGCGUGCGGGAUGAAGGUCUUCGGACUGUAAACCGCUGUGGAGAGGGAAGAUAAUGACAGUACCUCUCUAGAAAGCACCUGCUAACUACGUGCCAGAAGCCUCGGUGAUACGUAGGGUGCAAGCGUUAUCCGGAUUUAUUGGGCGUAAAGAGUAUCGUAGGCGGUACAGUAAGUGAUUGGUGAAAUCCUCCGGCUCAACCAGAGAAUUGCCAGUCAUACUGCUGAACUAGAGUAAUUUAGGGAAGGCUGGAAUUCUCGGUGUAGGGGUGAAAUCCGUUGAUAUCGAGAAGAACACCAAGGGCGAAGGCAGGCCUUUAGGAAUUUACUGACGCUGAUGAACGAAAGCUUGGGAAGCAAAAAGGAUUAGAGACCCUUGUAGUCCAAGCCGUAAACGAUGCCCACUAGAUGGUUUUAAUUUAUUAGAACUGUCGUAAGCUAACGCGUUAAGUGGGCCGCCUGGGGAGUACGGCCGCAAGGCUAAAACUCAAAGGAAUUGACGGGGAAACGCACAACCAGGGGAGCAUGUGGUUUAAUUCGAUACAAAGCGAAGAACCUUACCUGGGCUUGACAUGUUUGUGAUCGCUUUAAGAAAUUAGAGUUUUCCGCAAGGACACAUACACAGCUGCUGCAUGGCUGUCGUCAGCUCGUACCGUGAGGCGUCGGCUUAAGUGCCGCAACGAGCGCAACCCCCAUCUUAUGUUAUAUUUCGUAAGAGACCGCCUCGCUCAAAGCGGGGAGGAAGGAGGGGAUGACGUCAAGUCAGCACGGCGCUUAUGUCCAGGGCAACACACAUCCUACAAUGGUGGGGGACAACGGGUUGCGAACCGGCAACGGGGAGCUAGUCCUUCAAACCCCCCCUCAGUUCAGAUUGUGGGCUGAAAUUCGCCCACAUGAAGUUGGACUUGGUAGUAAUCGCGGGUCAGCAGACCGCGGUGAAUACGUUCUCGUUUCUUGUACACACCGCCCGUCACAUGAAGAAAGUCGGCAGUGCCCGAAGGUCCCUCGAUUUAUCGAGGGGACUAAGGUGAGGUCGGCGAUCAGCGUGAAGUCGUAACAAGGUA